CCUACGGGAGGCAGCAGUGAGGAAUAUUGGUCAAUGGACGAGAGUCUGAACCAGCCAAGUCGCGUGAAGGAUGAAGGUUCUAUGGAUUGUAAACUUCUUUUGUCCGAGGGUAAAGUGUGGGACGUGUCCCAUUCGGCAAGUAUCGGACGAAUAAGCAUCGGCUAACUCCGUGCCAGCAGCCGCGGUAAU
rnacentral:rRNA from 1 species